rnacentral:rRNA from 1 species
CUUACACAUGCAGUCGAACGAUGAAGCCGCUUCGGUGGUGGAUUAGUGGCGAACGGGUGAGUAACACGUGGGCAAUCUGCCCUGCGCUCUGGGACAAGCCCUGGAAACGGGGUCUAAUACCGGAUAUGAUCAUCGGCCGCAUGGUCUGGUGGUGGAAAGCUCCGGCGGUGCAGGAUGAGCCCGCGGCCUAUCAGCUUGUUGGUGGGGUGAUGGCCUACCAAGGCGACGACGGGUAGCCGGCCUGAGAGGGCGACCGGCCACACUGGGACUGAGACACGGCCCAGACUCCUACGGGAGGCAGCAGUGGGGAAUAUUGCACAAUGGGCGCAAGCCUGAUGCAGCGACGCCGCGUGAGGGAUGACGGCCUUCGGGUUGUAAACCUCUUUCAGCAGGGAAGAAGCCUUCACGGGUGACGGCACCUGCAAAAAAAGCACCGGCUAACUACGUGCCAACACCCGCGGUAAUACGUAGGGUGCGAGCGUUGUCCGGAAUUAUUGGGCGUAAAGAUCUCAGACGCGGCGUGUCACGUCAGAUGUGAAAGCCCGGGGCUUAACCCUGGGUCUGCAUUCUAUACGGGCAGGCUAGAGUUCGGUAGGAGAGAUCGGAAUUCCUGGUGUAGCGGAGAUAUGCGCAUAUAUCGAGAAGAACACCGGUGGCGAGCGCGGAUCUCUGGGGCUAUACUGACUCUGAAGAGCGAAAGCGUGGAGAGCGAACGAGAUUAUAUACCCUGGUACUCCACGCCGUACACGUUGAGAACUAUGUGUGUGUCACAUUCCACGUGCUCCGCGCCGCAUAUAACGCAUUAAGUUCCCCGCCUGGAGAGUACGGGCGCAGGGAUAACACUCAGAAGAAUUGACGGGGCCCCGCACAAGCGGCAGAGCGUGUGUCAUAUUUCGACGCCACGCGAAGAACUUUACCAAGGUUUGACAUACCCCGGAAACAUCCAGAGAUGGGGUGCCCUCUUUGACUCGGUGUACA